GCUCCUCCCGUCCAGCCGGACAGCGUGUGAUGUCCUCUCCGUGAUCCUGUAUGGCCCGGUCCACCUUGGUUCCGUCCACUUCCUUUUGGUGACUUUUAGCAGGACCCAGACGCCUGGCACCGAAGGCGAAGCCUCUUCGUGUGUGUAGUUUUGGUCCAAUGAAGGCUUUCUCGACUUGUGCAGUCCUUGAUCUCGGCAGAUAGUUGGUAGGAAGGCUCACACUCCGGCCGGACCAGAAGUUCCCUGAACCGAUCGCCUAGGGAUUAAAGGUUAUGCACAAAAAUGUCCUAGCUCUUACUGACCCUAGCCUCUGAUACCUUCAACAUCAGACACAUACAGUUACGAACAGCAAGCGCAAUUAAAGGUACAGUGACAUCACGACAUGGACACACACAGACACACAAACACAUACACAUGCACAUACACAGAGAGAGAGGGAGAGAGUAAGAAUGUGUGUGGGAGAAAGAAAUGUGUGGGAUCCAUUUUGCCACCAGCAUCUCCACCUGUGUCACAGAGAAAAAAUUGCAAAGAAAUUAAAACAUAAAGCAAACAACAAUAAUUCAAUGAGUAUAAAUGAUCAAACUAAAAUAUACAACCAUGCAUGGGUUUUAUAACAGUUCCGGCAACACUGGAGAGGAAGCCUUGUAUAAUGAAUUCUUAAGAUGUCCUUCAUCAAUUAGAGGUUAUAGCCAAAUUGUUUCAGGAUCCUGAAUUUGAAUUUGAAUUGGUUAAUUUACUCAGAAUAGUCCAAUGUCUUUGUUGAUGUUUCUCAAGGCUCAGCCACGCCCAUAUAGAUAAAUAAACAAACAAACAAGACAAACACAGUCAAACACACGGUCCAUACACGUCUCUGUGCCCUCACACACCAAGCAAAUGUCAGACUGAAGCGAAAGUGUGAAAUACUUAACCUAACGCUAAAUCAGUGGAAAGAAAAAAAAUAAGACCUAAAGCGUGUAAUCAAAUUAAUCCAACAAAACUUCCCAUAACUGCCGUUCUAAACUCAUGUUGCGGUGUGAUCUCUCCAAUUAGAAAUUAGGACAACCACUUUUACUAUCAAUUCAACCAAAUAGUUUCAGGUUGUCCCUUACCUAAACUACCUGUCUUUCUUACCUUCUUUCUUUCUUUCUUUCUUUCUUUCUUUUUUAGGAACACUACUCGCACAAGAAAUCCUAAGAAUUAAUUCACUACUUAAGGUUAAUUCAUAAAUAACGAAACUGCAGUUACAGGUUUGUUUGUGCAUAGUAUUGGUAAUCAGCAGUUUUUUUUUCCUUAUCUCCUCAUCUAGAAGUGUUUCUGUGCUACUCCUCCAUCUAUAACACAAGUUAGUAUCAUCCUUAAAGCAUCUGAAAUUAAGCUGCAUUGCUAAAUCAAUAACGUGAUUUGUGCUAAGAAAUACUCCCCUAUCCUCUUCCUUUUUCCAGUGGCGCUGAAUGACAGAUUUUAGAUCACUUUAACUUUUUAUCACUAUUACGUUUCAUUUAAUUAAUUUUGCUUUUUCUCUCUUAUUUUUGUCUAUUUAUUUAUUUAUGUUAUUUACUUAUUUAUCAUGCCAUCCUGUGAUGAUAAUCUUAAAGACUUUUUAGCCAAUUGUCGUCAAAAAGGCCAAUUAAAAAUAUUAUGUUAAAGAUUUCACAAGAUAAAAAUGUGAACAUAAUUUUUAUCGAAUGAGGGGUACAAUUAUUCAAUAUUUUUGUGACAUUAUUUUCUACGUUAGAACUUACAGCUGAUAGAAAAAUAUAGGAUCAGCUAGGUUUGGCUAGAUCUGUUGGGAAACUCAACGGAGCUGAAACAACACUGUUGUCUCGGAUGAGAUGUUCCAUGAAUCAUUUAGUCAGCUGGAUGCCAAAUUAUUCAUUUAAUGUUUAUUUUUAUGCAAUGAAUGGAAUGGGAUGGAACGUUACUAUAAACUAUCCGGAAAUUUGCGCAUGUUUGCUCGAAGGAGAGAACUGUUGAAGCCUAAAGCGUUCUCCUAGACUUAUAAAUAGACACCGUUUCCUUAACUAAUGAAGAUAAGUGAUGACGCUGAUGUAUUCCGUUUUGAAAAGAAAAUAAGGCUUUACUGCAUGUCCGCUGCAGCUGAGAAUCCUAGGACAAUAAAGAUUAUAUUGACGUCCAAUGGUGAGUUGGGCUGAAAUCCAGGUUACUAAUCCUAUUAUUUAUUUAUUUAUUGAUAUUAUUAUUAUCUUUUUUUAGGCUAACUUUCUCAGUUAACUAUGUUCUACAGUAGUUUAGUAAAUUUUCCACAGUUCUGACAUUUCAUCAAUUCAACUGGUUGUUGCCAAAAAGCCUUGUUCAUUACCUGACUGCAGCAAGCACUCUUUUACUGGGUGUAACCAUAGGAAACAGUCUCUUUUGAGCCUCUCUUUGUAAGUCCAGGAUGACCACCGUCAUUGAUUAAAGUUCACAUGUUAGCACACAUGCUCCCCCUUUUGUACUUUGUUUCAUCAGCAGCAGGGCAAAUAAGUUUCUGCCUCUUUGUCCAUCUUGUAGUGCUCCCCGUCUUUAUGUUAUGAGUCACAGCUUUUGGUGAGGGCUUCCAGGUUCUCUUUGGUGAGGGCUUCCAGGUUCUCUUUGUAUAGAAGUCAGAGCCAAACAUUCUUUGCAGCUGGUUGUGACAGGCCCACCCAGUAAAGUUCAUGCCUGCCACAAUGCACAGCAAACGUUUUCCUUAAAUAUGUUGAUUGAGUUAAAAUGACAGAACUUUCUCUUUUACAAAUCAAAAUCAACGAUGGUUUCUAAUAUUUAGUCGACUUUAUUGACUCAAAGGUAAAUCUAGACUACUUCCUAUGCACAAUUUUUCUGAAUCGUCAAAUCGGUUCUACACAGGUUUUAAACUUUAGGCACAAUCUAUCCCAAAUGCAAGAUCCCUCCUUUCAUUUUUUAUUUAUCUAUUUUAUUUUGGGAAAAUAACUACCAGUUUUUAACUCAAAACAGCCUAGUACAGUUUCUAGCCAGGUUACAGGAAAUAAUACUUAGUUUAUCUGUUUUUUCAUUAUUCAGCGUCCCAAAAUCCAGCCAUUAACGUUAAUGGUUCUUAAAGUUGAGGUAAGACAAUUAUUGGAUUUUGUUUUAUAGCAAGAUUUAACAAAUAUUUUAUUUCCUGACUGAUUAUUUGUUAAUUUUAUGGUUUUCAUAAAGAUGAUCCUGAGAGGUUCAGAGCUGCUUUUCGCAGUACCCUGUGCUAUUUUUAGACUGCGGGACUCCUGUGUGUAAAAGUGGGUGGAGUCAGGUCCCCAGGCUGAAACUCCAGUCAUUCUCACUAGAUCUGUCCGAGAGGAAGGAUCUCCUGAAUACCCUAACCAGAAGCCUUAAGUCUCUUGAACUAAAUAACCGUCUAGCAAAAACAUGGACCGCACCCUGUUUCUCAAGCAGCUGCUCCCUCUAUUAAAAACUGAGUCAUUCAGAAGAUCCAGCGAAAGCAGCUCAUGCAAGAAGACACGCAUCCACUCAUUCACAUGGCACAGACGACAUUCUUUGUUUGUCACAGUCUUUUUUUUUUUUUUUUAAAGUAAGUCAGUUCGUCACUUAUUUAUUCUCUCUCUAUAUAUAUAUAUAUAAUAUUUUAAGCACAGAAUUUAUUUUAACACUGCACUGGUUAUUUUCAGAAUUUAAUGCGUACUAUGCUUUUAAGCAGGCCUUAUGUAACAUUAGCGCAAAUCCAAUUGCAAUUUCUUUGAGAGCGCUCUUGAGGAAUAGUUUAUAUAUUUAUUUUCUGCAGAUCUGUUUUGAUUUUACUGUUUAGCAGCUAUAUGACUAUAUUUCUAAAAUAAAGCUGUCAUUUACAUCCUUA